UACGUAGGGUGCAAGCGUUGUCCGGAAUUAUUGGGAGUAAAGAGCUCGUAGGCGGUUUGUUGCGUCGGCUGUGAAAUCCCGAGGCUCAACCUCGGGUCUGCAGUCGAUACGAGCAAACUAGAGUGUUGCAGGGGAGACUGGAAUUCCUGGUGUAGCGGUGAAAUGCGCAGAUAUCAGGAGGAACACCGGUGGCGAAGGCGGGUCUCUGGGCAACAACUGACGCUGAGGAGCGAAAGCGUGGGGAGCGAACAGG
rnacentral:rRNA from 1 species